AUCAAGGAGGAAGAGUGGCUUCUUUCCAUCACCACCAGGCUGUCAUCAUGUUAUAAACUAAGUGGUGGAAGGAGGUCAACAGCUAAUAAAUCUUAUGAGCAGACUCACUACUUUCAGACAGCAGUCCCUUUAGAGAUUGCUGCUGUCAUUUUCCUUUUUCUUCUCCCCUAUCCUCCCCUACCCCAGUGAACCUUUACAUCCUCAGAAGUGUUUGGCUUUUGCUGGCCUCUGGCAAAAGGAAGAUGCUAGGUUUUGAGUAGGGAGCUUCUGCAGUUGCCAGUUAGUCUUUGAGAGACUAAAAGAUAUCAGAGAAAAUUCAUUGCCAGAUUUUCUUAAGGGCUCUGAGAUAAAGCUUCAGAUUAAAGACAGGACUGUGCAAUUAUAUGAUCUUUUUGAAGAGAAUUUUUCUCUUUGAUUAAAUUACUGAAAGGUUAUUACAUUAAGAAAAUGGUGCCAUUUAGCUGUCCUCUCUAAAGGUGCUUUAGAUCUAGUUGUGAAAGAGCUGUAUUACAGAGUCUAUUACUGUAUUGAUGGAUGUGUUCGCAGUGUCAAGUUCACUAGUAACUCUGCUGAGACUCAGCUGAGAAGCAGCCUAGAGACCAUCACUUUAUGUAUUUUAUUGAUUCCCCUCUUGUGCAAAAAUGAUCAGGAAAGUGCUAGUAAGAGAUUGUACAGAGGACAAUUAGCACAAAGAGGAAGUGUUAGGCUGCUUCUUGUUCCAGAACAAAGAGCCCCUAAGACAGCUGGUUUGAGUGGUGACAGCCAAAGAACCACUGUUUUCCACAGAAACAUAUGUAGCUAAGUGACAUCUAUCUACUAUAGAAACUGUACUGCUGCCUUCCAGAGACUCGUGAUGACAGAACAUGACAAGAUUUCUACACUUCAGACAGUGUCCCAGAAGAAACAGGACUUUGGAAGGUGGAAGAAGUAAGAAUGAAGAAGGUGAACCAGAAAGACCUUCAGCAUCUGCAGGUCAAGGCAAGAUGCCAAAUGGCUCAGCUGGGGACAUAUCCAGGCACUCGUACACUUCUAGUACAGCUCAAACAAAGCCUGAGGAUCUGGAAUUUUGUGCAAACAUGCAAGGGAUGUAUGGGCAAGGGUCUCAGAUGAGGGACAAUCAGGUCCCUCAUCUGAGGGCUGUUGCCUUCUGGGUGUCUAAUGUACAGUAUGCUUUGCCACCUCAGCUUUCAGAACUGUCAGUGACUCAUUCAGUGAGUGAUGGAUUAGAGCCAAUAUUACCAAUUCCUUUGCGUAACAAAACAGAAGUAACAUUUUUGUUUUCUAGGAAUACUUUCUGUGUCUUAUGUCAUUCUCUAAUGAAACUUCAAGAACCUAAAUUUAAAUAUUAAGAAAUGUUAUGUUAACUGUCCAUAUACCCUGUACAGUCUGGAUUAUGUAUAAUUCCUUGUUUAAGAUUUUGGCAAUUUUUCCACUAAAUACCUGGCUCCUAGCUGAAAUCUGCUAUAGCUUUGAAAAGACAAUGAAGCUAACUGAAACUGUAACUUCAGAGGCUCUAAGCAGAACCCGGUGCAGUGACUACUGCAGAGGAAAAGCAAGCAAUGACAACAGCAACUAUCAAUAAUGACCAUCUCAGGGACUCCAAAAUGAGUGCCCGCUGCUUAAAUAGGGCAGUCACUGGCCUGAGACAAGGAUUAGUUAAGCUUUAUAGAGAAGGUAAGAUUGACUGCAGGUGUUUGCAGCCACCUUGACUGUUUCAGUCCUUGUGCUCAUUACAACCCCAUUGCUCUCAGCAUCUCCAGGCUGCAACAAUAACAGACUUUCUCUGACUCUGCAAGUCUGUGUCUGUGUUGCUUGCACAAACCCCUGCUUUGGUGUGAAGUCAGACCUGUGAGAAUAUAUCUGGUAUAUUUCUGAAUUCAUGAACAUAACCGCACUUACUGUUGAGUUGAAUGUACAAGUG